rnacentral:pre_miRNA from 2 species
UCUUAUGGAUAAGCAAAGAAAGUGGUUUUAUGGAAUGGAAUCCACUCCUGGUGAAGAUGCUGUGAA